CAUAGGUAACUAGUAACUAACCUUAGGAAAGAUCUAACCAAUAGGUUUCCGUAGGAAACCUUAGUGUGUUACCACCUUAGAGUCACCCUCAAGUAACCCAUAGUGAAACCAUAGGUUCCAUAACCCAUAAGCAACCUUAAGGACAACCUGUAGAAUGUUCACCCAGUUCAUCCCAUAAUAGUGUCCACCUUGUGUCCAGCCAGUCCAACCUAAGUGUUGUCCAACCAAGUAUCCAACCCAUAGGUAUUGUCCAUAGUGUUUGAGUCUAGAGACCAACCUUAGGUACCACCAGUCCAACUGAUUCUAUUAGUCCAACCUUAGGUCCAACCUUUAGGAAACCCAUUGUCCCGUGUCCACCCUGUAGAGUGUCCACC
rnacentral:lncRNA from 1 species